rnacentral:rRNA from 1 species
UGGGGAAUAUUGCACAAUGGGCGCAAGCCUGAUGCAGCCAUGCCGCGUGUAUGAAGAAGGCCUUCGGGUUGUAAAGUACUUUCAGCGAGGAGGAAGGAGGUAAGGUUAAUAACCUUAUCGAUUGACGUUACUCGCAGAAGAAGCACCGGCUAACUCCGUGCCAGCAGCCGCGGUAAUACGGAGGGUGCAAGCGUUAAUCGGAAUUACUGGGCGUAAAGCGCACGCAGGCGGUCUGUCACGUCGGAUGUGAAAUCCCCGGGCUCAACCUGGGAACUGCAUUCGAAACUGGCAGGCUAGAGUCUUGUAGAGGGGGGUAGAAUUCCAGGUGUAGCGGUGAAAUGCGUAGAGAUCUGGAGGAAUACCGGUGGCGAAGGCGGCCCCCUGGACAAAGACUGACGCUCAGGUGCGAAAGCGUGGGGAGCAAACA